rnacentral:rRNA from 1 species
GACGAAGGAUGCAAGCGUUAUCCGGAUUCAUUGGGUUUAAAGGGAGCGUAGGCGGACUUAUAAGUCAGUGGUGAAAUCUCUGGGCUUAACCCGGAAACUGCCAUUGAUACUAUCUGUCUUGAAUACCGUGGAGGUGAGCGGAAUAUGUCAUGUAGCGGUGAAAUGCUUAGAUAUGACAUAGAACACCAAUUGCGAAGGCAGCUCACUACGGAUAUAUUGACACUGAGGCACGAAAGCGUGGGGAUCAAACAGG